GUGUGCAAGCAGGAACGGGGCGGGGAUCUCUCAGCUGUGAAGGGAGGCUUCACGCUGCCUAUCAGAGCAUGCGUGCAAGCAGGAGGCGGCAGGGAUCUCUCAGUUAGGGAGUGUGAAGCCUCCCUUCCCAGCUGAGGGAUCCCUGCCCCCUCCUGCUUGCACAC
rnacentral:miRNA from 1 species